rnacentral:rRNA from 1 species
GAUGAACGCUGGCGGCGUGCCUAAUACAUGCAAGUCGAGCGAACAGACGAUGAUCUUGCUCCUCUUACGUUAGCGGCGGACGGGUGAGUAACACGUGUAUAACCUACCUUUAAUACUGGUAUAACUUCGGGAAACCGGAUCUAAUACCGGAUAAUCUAUUUAACCGCAUGGUUCAUUAGUUAAUGUCGGUUUUUCUUUCUCUUUUAGAUGGUUCCUCUCCGCAUUAGCUAGUUGUUAAGGUAACGGCUUACCAAGGCAACGAUGCGUAGCCGACCUGAGAGGGUGAUCGGCCACACGGGAACGAAGACACGGACAAGAGUACUACGGGAGGCAGCAGUAGGGAAUCGUGCGCAAUGGGGGAAAGCCUGACGGAGCAACGCCGAGUGAGUGAUGAAGGUCUUCGGAUCGUAAAACUCUGUUAUUAGGGAAGAACAAAUGUGUAAGUAAAUAUGCACGUAUUGACGGUACCUAAUCAGAAAGCAACGGCUAACUACGUG